UACGUAGGGUGCGAGCGUUGUCCGGAUUUAUUGGGCGUAAAGAGCUCGUAGGCGGUCUGUUGCGUCUGCUGUGAAAACCCGGGGCUUAACCCCUGGCUUGCAGUGGAUACGGACAGACUAGAGGUAGGUAGGGGAGAGUGGAAUUCCUGGUGUAGCGGUGAAAUGCGCAGAUAUCAGGAAGAACACCUAUGGCGAAGGCAGCUCUCUGGGACGGUACUGACGCUGAGACGCGAAAGCGUGGGGAGCGAACAGG
rnacentral:rRNA from 1 species